AGAGCGAACGCUGGCGGCAGGCCUAACACAUGCAAGUCGAACGCCCAGCAAUGGGAGUGGCAGACGGGAUAGUAACACGUGGGAACGCGCCCUUCGGUUCGGAAUAACUCAGGGAAACUUGAGCUAAAUACCGGAUACGCCCUUACGGGGAAAGAUUUAUUGCCGAAGGAACGGCCCGCGUCGGAUUAGCUAGUUGGUGAGGUAAUGGCUCACCAAGGCGACGAUCCGUAGCUGGUCUGAGAGGAUGACCAGCAUCACUGGGACUGAGACACGGCCCAGACUCCUACGGGAGGCAGCAGUGGGGAAUAUUGGACAAUGGGCGCAAGCCUGAUCCAGCCAUGCCGCGUGGAUGAUGAAGGCCCUAGGGUUGUAAAGUCCUUUAACGGGAGAUAAUGACGGUACCGUAGAAUAAGCCCCGGCUAACUUCGUGCCAGCAGCCGC
rnacentral:rRNA from 1 species